rnacentral:rRNA from 1 species
AUUGAACGCUGGCGGCAGGCCUAACACAUGCAAGUCGCACGGAGUGGCGGACGGGUGAGUAAUGUCUGGGAAACUGCCUGAUGGAGGGGGAUAACUACUGGAAACGGUAGCUAAUACCGCAUACUAUCAGCUGAGCCCAGGUGGGAUUAGCUAGUUGGGGGGUGAAAGGCCUACCUAGGCGACGAUCCGUAACUGGUCUGAGAGGAUGAUCAGCAACACUGGAACUGAGACACGGUCCAGACUCCUACGGGAGGCAGCAGGGGGGAAGAUUGGACAAUGGGCGAAAGCCUGAUGCAGCCAUGCCGCGUGUGUGAAGAAGGUCUUCGGGUUGUAAAGCACUUUAAGUUGGGAGGCGUUACCAACAGAAUAAGCACCGGCUAACUCCGUGCCAGCAGCCGCGGUAAUUC